rnacentral:lncRNA from 1 species
GAUCUUGAUAAGCGUAGUGAGGUCGCAGAAUAAGAGCGGCGAGAACGCAGUAUAAUCGUAGCGAGAUCGUUGUAGAAGCGUAAUGAGGACGUAGUAGCAUCGUGAAAGCAACGAACAUUUACAUUUUCAUGCCGCUCAUACCACGACCUCACCACGAUCUGAAUUUAUUUUAGAUCGCGGUGAGCGUGGUGCGAUCGUGGUCUAG